AUCCAUCGAAUUCCCCCAAAAUCGAAGAAAACACCAAAAGGAUAUAAUUCAAAAAUCACCGGACACGAUUUCUAACCAGAGGGAUUGAGAAAAUGGAAUACUAAAUUGCUAGAGAAAAGAUGAACGAAGACCACAAAACUUACCCAGAAGCAGUAGCUUCAUGGAGAUGGAGACAAUUAUCUUCUUCCCAGAAAGAGAGAGAAAGAGAGAAUUGAGUCUAUGAAUGUGUUUGUGGUAUGAGUCCUUUAGUG